GAGGGAAAGAAAGAGAAACCACAAGAAAAAGAAAAGAAAACAAGGAAAAAGAACGAAUCGCUUCUUUCUUUACCUAUCAUAAUUUUUACUUUUCCACUUCUCACCAAUUAGCCAUUUCAAUUCCAUCAAGUAGUAGGUAUCAUUAGAGGCGCCUAAGUAGCAGAAAGUAAGUAUUUUCUCUUU
rnacentral:ribozyme from 14 species